rnacentral:rRNA from 1 species
GCUUAGAGUUUGAUCCUGGCUCAGGAUGAACGCUGGCGGCGUGCUUAACACAUGCAAGUCGAACGGUCUCUUCGGAGAUAGUGGCGGACGGGUGAGUAACGCGUGAGAAUCUGCCUUUAGGUUCGGGACAACAGUUGGAAACGACUGCUAAUACCGAAUGUGUCGCAAGAUGAAAGAUUUAUUGCCUAAAGAUGAGCUCGCGUCUGAUUAGCUAGUUGGUGGGGUAAAAGCGUACCAAGGCGACGAUCAGUAGCUGGUCUGAGAGGAUGAUCAGCCACACUGGGACUGAGACACGGCCCAGACUCCUACGGGAGGCAGCAGUGGGGAAUUUUCCGCAAUGGGCGAAAGCCUGACGGAGCAACGCCGCGUGAGGGAGGAAGGCUUUUGGGUUGUAAACCUCUUUUCUCAAGGAAGAUAAUGGCGGUACUUGAGGAAUCAGCAUCGGCUUAACUCCGUGCCAUCAAUCCGCGGUAAUACGGAGGAUGCAAGCGUUAUCCGGAAUAAAUUGGGCGUAAAGCGUUCGUAGGUGGUUUUGCCAGUUCUGCUGUUAAAG